rfam:Intestinimonas butyriciproducens strain AF211, complete genome.
CAAGCAGGCUGGACAGCCACGUGGACAGUGCCGAAAGGCCGUUCAUGAGGAAAGUCCGGGCUCCACAGGGCAAGGAUAACGGGUAACGCCCGCCGGAGGCAACUCUAGGAAAAGUGCAACAGAGAGAUACCGCCUCGCCCCUUGAAUGCGCUUUCUGCAAGGACUUUGUUUUUGCGGGAACAUGCGUCGGCGAGGUAAGGGUGGAAAGGUGAGGUAAGAGCUCACCCGAUGGCUGGAGACUGCCCAUCGAUGUAAACUCUAUCCGGAGCAACACCGUGGAGGGACACACGGCCGGCCCGGCCGUCCCGGGGAGGUGGCUGGAACGCGUUGGCAACAGCGCGUCUAGAUAGAUGGCUGUCUUAAAUGACAGAACCCGGCUUACAGGCCUACUUGCAUA